GACGAACGCUGGCGGCGUGCUUAACACAUGCAAGUCGAACGGAAAGGCCCUGCUUUUGUGGGGUGCUCGAGUGGCGAACGGGUGAGUAACACGUGAGUAACCUGCCCUUGACUUUGGGAUAACUUCAGGAAACUGGGGCUAAUACCGGAUAGGAGCUCCUGCUGCAUGGUGGGGGUUGGAAAGUUUCGGCGGUUGGGGAUGGACUCGCGGCUUAUCAGCUUGUUGGUGGGGUAGUGGCUUACCAAGGCUUUGACGGGUAGCCGGCCUGAGGGGGUGACCGGCCACAUUGGGACUGAGAUUCGGCCCAGACUCCUACGGGAGGCAGCAGUGGGGAAUAUUGCACAAUGGGCGGAAGCCUGAUGCAGCAACGCCGCGUGCGGGAUGACGGCCUUCGGGUUGUAAACCGCUUUCGCCUGUGACGAAGCGUGAGUGACGGUAAUGGGUAAAGAAGCACCGGCUAACUACGUG
rnacentral:rRNA from 1 species